CUCUUAUCAAGAGUGGCAGAGGGACUGGCCCUAUGAAGCCCGGCAACCCAACUUUUUUUUAAAAGUGAAGGUGCUAAUUCCAGCAAAUCAGUUUUAAUUGAUUUGAAAGAUAAGAG
rnacentral:ncRNA from 2 species